GGGGAUUUAGCUCAGUGGUGUAGCACCUGCCUGGCAAGCACAUGAACCUGAAUUCAAUCCCCA
rnacentral:tRNA from 1 species